UACGGAAGAUGCGAGCGUUAUCCGGAUUUAUUGGGUUUAAAGGGUGCGCAGGCGGAUUUUUAAGUCAGCGGUCAAAUCGUGGGGCUCAACCCCAUCCAGCCGUUGAAACUGGGGAUCUAGAGUGUGCGAGAGGUAUGCGGAAUGCGUGGUGUAGCGGUGAAAUGCAUAGAUAUCACGCAGAACCCCGAUUGCGAAGGCAGCAUACCGGUGCACAACUGACGCUCAGGCACGAAAGCGUGGGUAUCGAACAGG
rnacentral:rRNA from 1 species